rnacentral:lncRNA from 1 species
UUAAUUAACUCAUCAUUUAUGUGUAUUAGGGACUCCCUUGCACGAGUACAAGGUCCCUUUUAGCUUGAUCUAGGCUUAAUACCCUAUUAUAGCAUGAAAUUCCCUAUUUUCCACCCGGAUGAACAGUAAUCCGGACCGACAGCCGGUUACUUCAUCCCGGGUUUGAUCCACUUUCAGGACUCCAAAUUUGAUGAAAUUUUUACCUAACAUUCUACACUCAUAGGGAAUUCUAAAGAGGUAACAUGCAUUGCUAUCGGAGGUCAUUUGACCCCCAAAAUACUUUGCCGAAGUUGGGACUUCGACACAGUUUUUCCGUAGUGCCGGAAAAAUUUGUCAAAAUCCGAUUCUUCCUCUUUUAACACCCUUUACAACUAUCAUCUACCCUUUCUAUAGCAUAAAUUCUUUAGAAUACUAGGUAGGGACGAGUAUUUACCUUUUUCUUCUUGUGAAACUUGGGUCCUUGCAUAGAAGGGAAGGAGAUCUACACUUUUCCCUUCAGCAGGCAGCGCAACCGGAGCUUCCUUGCACCUCGAAUCCCCUCCCUCUUUCUUCUUCUUCUUCUUCUUUUUCUUCUUCUUCUCUUUUUCCCUCUCUGUUUCCACGCCUGAGACCUCCUCUCCCUCUCUGUCUCAAUUUCCUCUUUUCAGCCAACCCACCGCCAGACAACCCCCAUUUAAGUCAAAUCAAACUCUAAAAAUUUCCAUUUUGCCCUUGCCACUUCAACGGAUCUACAGUUAUGCCAUUAACUUUUGAUUCCUUCCCAUUUUACCCCUUAUAUCAAUUUUAAAGGACUAUUCUAUCCCUUUUU